rnacentral:rRNA from 1 species
UACGUAGGCAGCAAGCGUUGUUCGGAAUUACUGGGCGUAAAGAGUGUGUAGGCGGUUUUCUAAGUUUGGUGUGAAAUCUCCCGGCUUAACUGGGAGGGUGCGCCGAAAACUGGAAGGCUUGAGUAUGGGAGAGGUAAGCGGAAUUCCUGGUGUAGCGGUGAAAUGCGUAGAUAUCAGGAGGAACACCUGCGGUGUAGACGGCUUACUGGACCAUAACUGACGCUGAGGCACGAAAGCGUGGGUAGCAAACAGG